rnacentral:tRNA from 1 species
GCCUCGUUGGCUCAGUGGACAGAGCGUCUGGUUACGAACCAGAAGGUCACACGUUCGAAUCGUGUACGAGGCU